rnacentral:rRNA from 1 species
UACGUAGGCAGCGAGCGUUGUUCGGAGUUACGUGGGCGUAAAGGGUGUGUAGGCGGUUGUUUAAGUUUGGUGUGAAAUCUCCCGGCUCAACUGGGAGGGUGCGCCGAAUACUGAAUGACUUCGAGUGCGGGAGAGGAGAGUGGAAUUCCUGGUGUAGCGGUGAAAUGCGUAGAUAGUCAGGAGGAACACCGGUGGUGUAGACGGCUCCUCUGGACCGUAACUGACGCUGAGACACGAAAGCGUGGGGAGCGAACAGG